UUAUUUGAAUCCAGCAUUUAAAUAUUUUAUGGAUCUCAGUGUUGAUGAAGAUUUAUUAAGUUCUUUGAAAAAGGUGGUUGCAAAGUUGGAGCCUGAUGAAGAUAAUGUUGCUAUUGCAAUGCAAGAGGCCAAAUUAUUCUGCGAGGCAUUAGGAGGAUUUGGAGAUAGCUUGGUACAGAGAGCAUGAGAUAAAACUGACAUAGCUGAAUGGUGGUUGAUGUAUGGUCAAUACGCCCCACAUCUUUGAAAGAUUGCAAUAAAUGUAUUAUCACGAAUUGCUUCAUCUAGUGGUUGUGAACGCAAUUAGAGUACCUUUGGCCUCAUCGAAACAAAACAGAUGAAUCAUCUAUCCUAUGAGACUCUUGAAAAGUUAGUGUAUGUGCAUUAUAAUAUGAGACUAAAGGUUAGA